UUCGGACUGUAGGCUGCAACUCGCCUACACGAAGUUGGAAUUGCUAGUAAUCNCGGAUCAGAAUGCCGCGGUGAAUACGUUCCCGGGUCUUGUACACACCGCCCGUCACACCAUGGGAGUCGGAAAUGCCCGAAGUCUGUGACCCAACCUGAGAGGGAGGGAGCAGCCGAAGGCAGGUCUGAUGACUGGGGUGAAGUCGUAACAAGGUACC
rnacentral:rRNA from 1 species